CGGGGUUGAUUCGGCUGAUCUGGCUGGCUAGGCGGGUGUCCCCUUCCUCCCUCACUGCUCCAUGUGCAUCCCUCCCGAAGCUGCGCACUCAGUUGAAGAGGACGACCAUCCCCAAUAGAGGAGGACUGUUCUUCGGUCAAGGGUAUACGAGUAGCUGCGCUUCCCUGCUAGAACCACCAAACAAGCUCUCAAGGUCCAUUGUUGAGAAUCUUUGCAUCUAUAUUCAUCAGAGAUAUUGGUCUAUAGUU
rnacentral:snRNA from 1 species